CCUACGGGCGGCAGCAGUGAGGAAUAUUGGUCAAUGGGCGCAAGCCUGAACCAGCCAAGUCGCGUGAGGGAAGACGGUCCUACGGGUUGUAAACCUCUUUUGCCGGGGAACAAGCCUGAGCACGUGUACCCAGGCGGGGAGUCCCCGGAGAAAAAGCUCCGGCUAACUCCGUGCCACCAGCCGCGGUAAUACGGAGGAUGCGAGCGUUAUCCGGAUUUAUUGGGUUUAAGGGGUGCGCAGGCGGGCUGUUAAGCCGGCGGUAAAAACUCAGGGCUCAACCCGGCCGAGCCGUCGGAACUGGCAGGCUGGAGUGGGCGAGAAGUAUGCGGAAUGCGUGGUGUAGCGGUGAAAUGCAUAGAUAUCACGCAGAACGCCGAUUGCGAAGGCAGCGUACCGGCGCCCAACUGACGCUGAGGCACGAAAGCGUGGGGAUCGAACAGGAUUAGAUACCCUGGUAGUC
rnacentral:rRNA from 1 species